GUCAGCAUGGCACAGUGGUUUGAGUGCUGGACUACAACUCUGGACACCAGGGUUCUGGGGUUUGAAUCCCAGCUUGGCCA